rnacentral:lncRNA from 1 species
CACUGGUAUGAAGCCUACACAGAGCUGCAGCAAGAGACUGAGAGACUGAGGACUGGCCGUGGUUCCCAAGAGGUGUCUGGCUCAAGGUAUAUAAAUUAACCUUGCAAAUUAUCCAGCACCAUGGGAAGAACUUGGAGACCAGAAUUUAGGGUAUUUGGGAAGGUAUAUGAUGCAGAGUGUUUACCUGCUCAGUUCCUGGCAAGAUACAAGUGUGUUGCCGAUGAACAAUGAGUGUCUCCUACCAGACAGUCUGCUCUGGACUCUGUCUGAACUGAGCUUCAGGACCUGCCCUAAGCAACUUCCCGGUGAUGUCCCUCAUGGUCCUUUAACCACAGAAGAGACCAAGCACCCCCUUCCCACAGCUCUCUUCAAGCGGAGGCAGCAACUUAAUCCACAGAUUCCAGGAAAGGAAUCACGAACUUACAGAUGAAGAACCUGGGCUCAGACAGUGGCAGAGUGUCUUGUCAAAGCCAUGCAGAGGUCCAGCCGCUGAGGAGGGCUGUCUGCUUAGAACAGCUGCACUAUUGUCCAUUAUGCCAGACAAGGGAGAAAUAAACAUCUGGAUAUGGAUUGUGAGGUAAAUGAUUAUUUAUGUGGUGUUAAUCUGAGGGGCUCCUGGAAUAACU